rnacentral:rRNA from 1 species
UACGUAGGUGGCAAGCGUUGUCCGGAUUUACUGGGCGUAAAGAGCGCGCAGGCGGUCGUUCAAGUCGCGUGUGAAAGCCCCCGGCUCAACUGGGGAGGGUCACGCGAUACUGAUCGACUCGAAGGCAGGAGAGGGUAGUGGAAUUUCCGGUGUAGCGGUGAAAUGCGUAGAUAUCGGAAGGAACAUCAGUGGCGAAAGCGGCUUCCUGGACCAGAACUGACGAUCAGGCUCGAAAGCGUGGGGAGCAAACAGG